rnacentral:miRNA from 10 species
AGUUGGUUGAGAUUGGGCCAA